rnacentral:misc_RNA from 1 species
CCCCCGGGGCUCUUCUCUACUUAGUACGAAAGGACCAGAUUUAAAAAAUAAUUUUUUUAGGUGAUUAACAUUAACUAUUUUGGCAGAAAAGUGCCAUGAAUUUAGAAUUCAUAAAUAUAAGUAAAUCUUAUAGAUAGUAC